rnacentral:rRNA from 1 species
GAUGAACGCCGGCGGUGUGCCUAAUACAUGCAAGUCGUACGCACUGGCCCAACUGAUUGAUGGUGCUUGCACCUGAUUGACGAUGGAUCACCAGUGAGUGGCGGACGGGUGAGUAACACGUAGGUAACCUGCCCCGGAGCGGGGAGUAACAUUGGAAACAGAUGCUAAUACCGCAUAAUGCAUUGGAUUCGCAUGUUUCUGAUGCCAAAGAUUUAUCGCUGAAAGAUGAGCUCGCGUCUGAUUAGCUAGUUGGCGGGGUAACGGCCCACCAAGGCGACGAUCAGUAGCCGGACUGAGAGGUUGAACGGCCACAUUGGGACUGAGACACGGCCCAG